rnacentral:lncRNA from 1 species
GUUUUUCUGGUAAGCCAGACACUGAUAGGCAAUUUGGCAGACGUUGCACAAACAGCUUCCCUUAGUUCUGCCUCCAGGGAGAAGCAAUGCAGGCUGCUGUCUCCAUUUACAACAUUCUUCUAGGGCACAGCUGCCAGCCUUCUUGCCAAAACAAAUAGAACUGAGCCUUUGCUCUACCUCGUGAACUGGCAUUAACUAUUUGUAGCCCAGAAAGAUAAACUUUUUAAAAAAACUUUUUGAUAAGGGUGUUGAACAUGGUGGAAGAGUGGCAGCCACUGUAUAGGAGCUGCUCCCUAAUGCUGAAUAAAAACCAGAGUCCCCUGGUGGCAUGGUGAGGCAGGUGGCCUGGGGAAGAGCACGGGGAGCAAGUCAGAGCCAGCCACAAAGUAGAACCCAGAAACACCAGUUCUUAGGAUGGAAAGAGAAGAAAACGGAUUCACUGCACCUGCGCCAGGUGCAGGGUGGCUCAGGGGGCAGGGAGCUCCCCUCCAGGGAGCUGAGAGUGUCCUAGUGAGUUUAAGAAGAAGCAGACCCACCAUCUGAGCAGAAGGAGCCUCAUGAAGUGAGCUGGUGGGGCAGGGGGUCCCAGCACUUCUCAGACCAUAGAGUGAAUCAGGGACCUGGUGGCAGCCUAGAGGGCAUCCGUGUUUAAACCCUUUGUGUGGGAGACAGCGACUCCUGUGGUUUUCCUUGAUUUCCUUUUUUCUUCUUUUUGCCCUGCAGAAGCAAUGGCCACCUGUGCUUGACUUCCC